rnacentral:rRNA from 1 species
CUUUAGUGGCGAACGGGUGCGUAAUACGUGAGAAUCUGCCUUUAGGAGGAGUAUAACUGUUGGAAACGACUGCUAACACUCCAUAUGUCGAGAGAUGAAAUAAUUUAUUGCCUAAAGAUGAGCUCGCGCCUGAUUAGCUAGUUGGUGAGGUAAUGGCUCACCAAGGCCACGAUCAGUAGCUGGUUUGAGAGAACGAUCAGCCACACUGGGACUGAGACACGGCCCAGACUCCUCCGGGAGGCAGCAGUGAGGAAUUUUCCGCAAUGGGCGAAAGCCUGACGGAGCAAUACCGCGUGAGGGAUGAAGGAUUUUGGUCUGUAAACCUCUUUUCUCAAGAAAGAAGUUCUGACGGUACUUGAGGAAUAAGCAUCGGCUAACUCCGUGCCAGCAGCCGCGGUAAUACGGGGGAUGCAAGCGUUAUCCGGAAUCAUUGGGCGUAAAGCGCCUGUAGGUUGUUUAAUAAGUCUGUUGUUAAAGACUAGGGCUCAACCCU